UACGUAGGUGGCAAGCGUUUGUCCGGAUUUAUUGGGUUUAAAGGGUGCGUAGGCGGUCUAUUAAGUCAGUGCUGAAAUAUCCCGGCUUAACCGGGAGGGUGGCAUUGAUACUGAUGGACUUGAGUAAAGUUGAGGUUGGCGGAAUUGACGGUGUAGCGGUGAAAUGCUUAGAUAUCGUCAAGAACACCUAUUGCGAAGGCAGCUAACUAGCUAAACUGACGCUGAGGCACGAAAGUGUGGGGAUCAAACAGG
rnacentral:rRNA from 1 species